rnacentral:sRNA from 1 species
UACAUUACGGAUUGUAAGCAUUGCAUAU